rnacentral:lncRNA from 1 species
CUUUCUUAGGGGUCGUUCGAAUCCCUGCCGGCCUCUCCCCUCCCGCUCCCUGCCUCUCGCCACAGCCUCGGCCUUCGCCCUCGGGAUUGAAGACCUACCCCACGGGCAGGAGCCAAGUCUUCUCUGUUGGUUGAAAUGUCUAUGAUUUUAUCUGCCUCAGUCAUUCGUGUCAGAGAUGGACUGCCACUUUCUGCUUCUACUGAUUAUGAACAAAGCACAGGAAUGCAGGAGUGCAGAAAGUAUUUUAAAAUGCUUUCGAGGAAACUUGCUCAACUUCCUGAUAGAUGUACACUGAAAACUGGACAUUAUAACAUUAAUUUUAUUAGCUCUCUGGGAGUGAGCUACAUGAUGUUGUGCACUGAAAAUUACCCAAAUGUUCUCGCCUUCUCUUUCCUGGAUGAGCUUCAGAAGGAGUUCAUUACUACUUAUAACAUGAUGAAGACAAAUACUGCUGUCAGACCAUACUGUUUCAUUGAAUUUGAUAACUUCAUUCAGAGGACCAAGCAGCGAUAUAAUAAUCCCAGGUCUCUUUCAACAAAGAUAAAUCUUU